UACGUAGGGUGCGAGCGUUAAUCGGAAUUACUGGGCGUAAAGCGUGCGCAGGCGGUUUUGUAAGCCAGAUGUGAAAUCCCCGGGCUUAACCUGGGAAUGGCAUUUGGGACUGCAAGGCUCGAGUGCGGCAGAGGAGACUGGAAUUCCUGGUGUAGCAGUGAAAUGCGUAGAUAUCUGGAGGAACACCGGUGGCGAAGGCGGCAUCCUGGACCGAGAUUGACGCUGAGGCGCGAAAGCCAGGGGAGCAAACGGG
rnacentral:rRNA from 1 species